GUAGCUCAGUUGGGAGAGCGCUUGAAUGGCAUUCAAGAGGUCGAGGGUUCGACUCCCUUCGGCUCCGCUUCACCA
rnacentral:tRNA from 1 species